rnacentral:rRNA from 1 species
UCCCAGCACUCCAAGUCGCAGCCACAAUUAUUGGGUCUAAAACAUCCGUAGCUUGCUUUGUAAGUCUUUUGUGAAAUCGGGCCUCUUAAGGGUCCGUCGUGCAAAAGAUACUGCUUAGCUAGAGACCGGGAGAUGUAAGGAGUACGAAUGGAGUAGCGGUAAAAUGCGUUGAUCCUAUUUGGACUAACAACAGCGAAGGCACCUUACAAGAACGGAUCUGACAGUGAGGGAUGAAGGCUAGGGGCGCAAAUUG